rnacentral:lncRNA from 1 species
UUUGAGGAAAAUUUGGCAUUUUCUGAGGAGAUUUCAGUGCGGGGACCCCCAGAGACCCCUCAUCAUUAUUUUUUUGGGGAUAUUUUGAGGCGAUUUGGGCUUUUUUAAGGAGAUCUUGAGGUGAAAACACCACAGAAACCGUGUUUUUGUGAUCUCGGUGAGAUUUUGAGGCAAUUUGUGAGAAUUUUGGGGUUUCAUGAGGAGAAGUUGGGGUAAAAAAUGGCGAUAAACCUUAAUGGUAAGUUUUGGGAGCGAAAUUUGGUGUAUUUUGGGUGAAUUUUGAGGGUUUUUGGGGUUUUGUCUGUGGGGAUGUUGUGGAGAUUGAAGAAAAACAGGUUUUGGGGUGGUUUGGGGGGGAUCAUGAGGAGAUUUUGUGUGUUUUUGAGGAAAAUUUGGCAUUUUUGAGGAGAUUUUGGUGUGGGGACCCCCGGAGACCCCCCAUCAUUAUUUUUUGGGGAUAUUUUGAGGCGAUUUGGGCUUUUUUAAGGAGAUGUUGAGGUGAAAACACCACAGAAACCGUGUUUUUGUGAUCUCGGUGGGAUUUUGAGGCAAUUUGUGAGAAUUUUGGGGUUUCAUGAGGAGAAGUUGGGGUAAAAAAUGGCGAUAAACCUUAAUGGUAAGUUUUGGGAGGGAAAUUUGGUGUAUUUUGGGUGAAUUUCGGGGGUUUUUGGGGUUUUGUCUGUGGGGGUGUUACAGAGAUUGAAGAGAAACGGGUUUUGGGGUGGUUUUGAGGGAUUUUUGGCAAUUUUCUGAGGUAAAUUAAGGUUAUUUGAGGCCAUAAAGGACGGAGGAAACGGGGAGGGUGGUUUUGAUGGUGGAGCUGCCCCAAAAUCCCGCUUUUUUCCCCCAAAACCCAGGCGCUGAUGCUGGAGAACCUCCAGAAGCACUCCACGCCGCACGCCACCUUCCAGCCCAACUCCCAGAUCGGGGAGGAGAUGAGCCAGAACAGCUUCAUCAAGCAGUACCUGGAGAAGCAGCAGGAGCUCCUGCAGCAGCGCCUGGAGCGCGAGGCGCGCGAGGCCGCCGAGCUCGAAGG